rnacentral:rRNA from 1 species
UACGUAGGGUGCAAGCGUUAAUCGGAAUUACUGGGCGUAAAGCGUGCGCAGGCGGAUUGUUAAGCAAGAUGUGAAAUCCCCGGGCUUAACCUGGGAAUGGCAUUUUGAACUGGCAAUCUAGAGUGUGUCAGAGGGGGGUAGAAUUCCACGUGUAGCAGUGAAAUGCGUAGAGAUGUGGAGGAAUACCGAUGGCGAAGGCAGCCCCCUGGGAUAACACUGACGCUCAUGUACGAAAGCGUGGGUAGCAAACAGG